UACGAAGGGGGGCAAGCGUUGUUCGGAAUCACUGGGCGUAAAGGGCGCGUAGGCGGUCCUUCAAGUCAGGCGUGAAAGCCCCGGGCUCAACCUGGGAACGGCGCUUGAGACUGAGGGACUGGAGUUCGGGAGAGGAUGGUGGAAUUCCCAGUGUAGAGGUGAAAUUCGUAGAGAUUGGGAAGAACACCAGUGGCGAAGGCGGCCAUCUGGACCGACACUGACGCUGAGGCGCGACAGCGUGGGGAGCAAACAGG
rnacentral:rRNA from 1 species